AGUUCCAUAGUGUAGUGGUUAGCACAUCUGCUUUACACACAGAAGGUACAGGGUUCAUGCCCCAGUAGAGUCA
rfam:Pteropus alecto contig48413, whole genome shotgun sequence.